AGGCUACACCAUGAAAGC
rnacentral:snRNA from 1 species